GACGAACGCUGGCGGCGUGCUUUACACAUGCAAGUCGAACGGAAAGGCCCUGCUUUUGUGGGGUGCUCGAGUGGCGAACGGGUGAGUAACACGUGAGUAACCUGCCCUUGACUUUGGGAUAACUUCAGGAAACUGGGGCUAAUACCGGAUAGGAGCUCCUGCUGCAUGGUGGGGGUUGGAAAGUUUCGGCGGUUGGGGAUGGACUCGCGGCUUAUCAGCUUGUUGGUGGGGUAGUGGCUUACCAAGGCUUUGACGGGUAGCCGGCAUGAGAGGGUGACCGGCCACAUUGCGACUGAGAUACGGCCCAGACUCCUACGGGAGGCAGCAGUGGGGAAUAUUGCACAAUGGGCGGAAGCCUGAUGCAGCAACGCCGCGUGCGGGAUGACGGCCUUCGGGUUGUAAACCGCUUUCGCCUGUGACGAAGCGUGAGUGACGGUAAUGGGUAAAGAAGCACCGGCUAACUACGUG
rnacentral:rRNA from 1 species